GGACAUUUUCCCUGCUUAGGCAGCCACAGCACAGAGAUAAUUAGUCACAAGGUUAGUUAGUCCAGCUUAAAUAAGCAGAAGUCAAGUUAGUGCUUCACAGAUUGGUCUUUUAGCAGAUGCUCUGCCCUUUUGAGGAAUGCAAGGGGCAAAUGUGAGCUCUUAAGGAUAUUUUACAUUUACGCAAUGAGUUACGCUGUUCAAAAAACUUUGUCUUUCUACCCUUGUGCAACCUAAUUUCUCUUACCGGAAACCUGAGGCUCCAAAGUUCUGGAGGCCAAAAGUCCAGGGUCAAAGUGCCAGUGGAUUACAUUUCCUGGUGAGGACCCUCUUCCUGGCUUGUACCUGUGAUUCCUAGAAGUCUCCAUUUUGAAGUUCUCUUGUCCUUUGACCAAGCAUCCAGCACAUCCUCACAACACUCCAAAGCCACCUUGAAGACUCUCUUCAAAGCAAUUUUUACUGUUGAUACCACCACCAUUGUUCCUGACACAUGAAGCAGGAGGACCCAAGGCCGGAGGUCAUGGCGGAGAGAUGAGCAGAUAGUCCUCAAAGGCAGACAGGGCUGGGGUUGAAGAGGAAUUCCCUAAUAGCUGUUAUAAAUGGAGAUAUGACAGGUAUGAACAAACAACCUAGGAGUGGAAGAAAGAAGAGGGAGGAGUUAGGUAGAAAUAGUACUGGGAGUGGAUGCCCGGGCUGUGUAGUGACAUAAAGGGGCUU